AGAGACAAGGGAAAAGAAAAAAAGGAGCCGCUAGAACGCGUCGACUCGGUUUGUUUACGUUUUGCCGCGGGGAGUUGCACGUGUGGGCGGCGUUCAAAAAGAUUUACGUUUAUUUCACGUUCCUGACCUCGCCCGCCUUUAAAAGUCCUCGUUGCUCCAGGGCGUAGCUCCGUUACCCUGGGGGGCCUAUGGGGGUGCGGGGUACAGGCACCCAUCGCUCCGGGACACCUUGCCUCAGUGCUCAUCUCUGUCAAAUUAAAGACUCAAGAGCUGUGUGAAGAAGCUGAGCAGCGUCUCCCUGGCCUGGGCGUGGAGUGAGCUGGUCCCCUCAUCACCAGCACCAUAGAUCAUAGACCAGGGGAUGAGGUGCUCCUGGCCCUCCACCACCACCUGGGUGCCGGCACACCCUCCUGGGUGGACCAGAGGAUGUCCACUGUGUUGGUCACUCUACACUCCUAUCAAGGCUGUGCUGUACAGGCUCAGUGAUGACUUAGACACACGUCAAUUAUCUUCCCUCAGGCUCAGAGGCACUGACAGGCUUCUACAGUGGUAGGGCUGAAGCGACACAUCCUGGCGGGGGGCACCUUUGACAGCCCAGGGCACACCUCCGCCCCUGCCAGCAACCUCAUCACCCGACUGCUAGUUCAGGACCCAGUGCAGUGGUCCAACCCAGAAGAGAUUGCUGCCACGAGUACCUGGCUAGUGCCCCCCCCCGUAUGUACUAGCCCUGACCUUCAGCGACGACCCCGACCCCAUGGAGGAACGGAGCUGUGCUGGUGCUGUCCUGCCUUUCCAACUACUUCCAUCUAAUGUGGCCAUAAAUGCGCUUAUUGACUUAAGCGCCUAUCACACUGGGCACUUUUUCCUCCGACCUCCGACAAAUCGGCGGUACCGCCUACCUCCAGCACUUUUUCCGCCGACUGUCGGAGCAAAUUUGCAGCCCGUACCAUUCGGGAAAAAGUCGAAGGAAGGCGGAAGAAACUACCGAGUCAAAUGACAUCCUGUAAACAUUACUGAAAAAAAUAAACUAUUUGCCAUG